rnacentral:tmRNA from 1 species
GGGGCCGUUUAGGAUUCGACGCCGGUUGCGAAACUUUAGGUGCAUGCCGAGUUGGUAACAGAACUCGUAAAUCCACUGUUGCAACUUUCUAUAGUUGCCAAUGACGAAACCUACGGGGAAUACGCUCUCGCUGCGUAAGCAGCCUUAGCCCUUCCCUCCUGGUACCUUCGGGUCCAGCAAUCAUCAGGGGAUGUCUGUAAACCCAAAGUGAUUGUCAUAUAGAACAGAAUCGCCGUGCAGUACGUUGUGGACGAAGCGGCUAAAACUU